UCACACAUAUUAUUGAGACCAACUAGCAACAUAGAAAGCACAAUAGUGUACCAACAAUGGCAGCUAAAAUAUUUUGCCUCCUUAUGCUCCUUGGUCUUUCUGCAAGUGCUGCUACGGCGACCAUUUUCCCACAAUGCUCACAAGCUCCUAUAGCUUCCCUUCUUCCCCCGUACCUCUCACCAACGGUGUCUUCGGUAUGUGAAAACCCAAUUCUUCAACCCUACAGGAUCCAACAGGCAAUCGCAGCUGGCAUCUUACCUUUAUCACCCUUGUUCCUCCAACAAUCAUCAGCCCUAUUACAGCAGUUACCUUUGGUGCAUUUAUUGGCACAAAACAUCAGGGCACAACAACUACAACAACUUGUGCUAGCAAACCUUGCUGCCUACUCUCAGCAACAGCAGUUUCUUCCAUUCAACCAACUAGCUGCAUUGAACUCUGCUUCUUAUUUGCAACAACAACAACUACCAUUCAGCCAGCUAUCUGCUGCCUACCCCCAGCAAUUUCUUCCAUUCAACCAACUGACAGCAUUGAACUCUCCUGCUUAUUUACAGCAGCAACAACUACUACCAUUCAGCCAGCUAGCUGGUGUGAGCCCUGCUACCUUCUUGACACAACCACAGUUGUUGCCGUUCUACCAGCACGCUGCGCCUAACGCUGGCACCCUCUUACAACUGCAACAAUUGCUGCCAUUCAACCAACUUGCUUUGACAAACCCAGCAGCAUUCUACCAACAACCCAUCAUUGGUGGUGCCCUCUUUUAGAUUUCUUAUGAGUUAUAGUUCAAUAAUAAAGUUUUUUGUCUGAUGUUUGUGGCUUCCCAGAAAUAAGAAAGUACAUUUCUAGAUUCUUAUGUGCUUCUAGUCUCCAAAUGUGGUUGAUAGUUAUUUUGCUCUAAGAUCAACAGUAAUGAAGUAUAAAUCAUCGUUGUGGUGUGCUACUCGGUUAAUUGAGCAUUAACACACACAAACAUGACGAGGAUGGUAUAAUCUCCAAAAAUGUGUACUUUGUUAGGUGGGACCCUAUAGCCUUGAUUAAUGUGCUAUGUUAGGCAUGCCUGGAAACGUGUGACGCAUAUGUUUUGUGAACCUGUUGAUAUUAUAUGUGCUUUUAUAUUACCAUAUUUUAUUAAAAUACUAAUAUUUAUUACUAGUAAGAUAUAACAUUCUAUCUAGCUUAAAAACUAACCAUAAAUAUUCCAUAAUAACUAGAUUUACCAAACUAAUAUACUAAAUAUACAUAAUAAAUACAAAAUUAACAAGACAAUAAUCAAUAUUUAUGAGCUUAAUAUAUUUAGACAUUAUGGUUGGUCGACGAUAAUCAUGCUAACUUUUCGUAAUUGCUUGAUUGUAAAUAUGCUUAGAAUAAUGCCUCUUUGUUCUACAUGGCAAAUAGGGACCAUUAUGGUGUAACACCCUGGGAACCACAAACACCCCGAAAUGCUACUAAACUACACAACUAACCUUCAUAUAUAAAAUUUCGACAGCAUCUCCUUUGAAAAUUUGCAUAGACGUGGAAGCAACAGAGUAUAAACAGAUAUCAUGAUAAGAAAACAUACUAGACAUUAAUAAUCUGCUAGAAAUGGGAAGAUAACCAUAACGACAUAAACUGAAUUAACUAGUGUGCACAACUUGUUAAAAACAAACAUCGUUGACAAGAAGUUUCUAAUUAAAUCAUGGUUGUGCCUGGGCAGCGUUAUUAUGAGAGUGAAGGUGGACGUGAUGCUACUUCCCUCAUUCCCAACAUGAAUCAAGUACCUGCAUUGAGCAAUGCAAGAGUGAGAUGAAAACAUCUCAGCAAGUAAAUUGUUUUGACGAGAUAUUUAAACCAAAAAAAUUUGAUUUACUCAACAUUUUAAAGGGAUCACAAUUGAGAUCAGAAAUACUUGUAGAUAUAGAACUCAAUAGUCCCAAAAUAACCAGUGCCAUCUCAUUUCCUCAAACAACCACAAUAGGUUGUAUAACACUUCCCUGCGUCAUCAAUACCUGCAAAUAUCACUUCAAUGUAUGCAUAGGAAUGCAAUGUUUAAGUCCUCUGCAUUCAUACUUCUUAGAGUAUAAAACCACACCAUCUGCAAAUAUCACUUCAAUGAAUGCAUAUGAAUGCAAUGCAUAUGUCCUCUGCCUUCAUACCUCUAAGGGUAUGAAGCCGAAUCGUACCCCUCCUCGGGCAACGUACGAUGCUAAGUUGUACCGGUACGGUCGGACCAUAGGUCACGACAAAACUUCAUAUGCAAGUGAAUCAUGACAUGUAUAUGGCUUGCUGCAUUUAUCAAUAUACUUCACUUCCUUCAUAUACAAUACAAACCUCAAAUAAUACUUCGUUUACCUUCAGAUACAAUACAAACCUCAAAUAAUACUUCAUUCACCUUCAGGGGUGUUUAUUAAUCUCGUGGGUCAUACUCGAAUCAUCAUCAUCAUCAAUGAUGAUUAAGCAUCAGUAUAAUACAAUCAAGUAAAGCAUCACCAUAGAGUUCAAUUAUGAAAGAAUUCGAUGAUUCUGAAUAUUAGAGUGUAUGCGAUGAAACAACAACGUCAAAACGGUAGCAACCACCGCUACAUUCAUUUGCCUUCAUCGAAGAAGAAAAAUGUACUAGGCAUGAUUCAGAGUGUAGACACCUGCUGUGGGGCUUAAAACUUAGUACAAAUAUUCCACAAACAUUUGCCAACAAUUAACAAAUCGCUCCUACACUUGAAACCAAGACCCGGUGGAAUGACUCCCACCCUGAACCACAUGCCAAACAAUAGUAGUGCUGUUUGUUAAUUUUGUAUCUUUAAAAUUAUAACAGUGGUGAUAUCAAACAAAUACUCUAGAAGUUUCUACACAAAAUACUCUACAACUUCGGUAUUCAAUGGAUAAUUAAAUUUUGCCAUCUAUAAGUUCUAAAACAUCUGAUAAGAUAACUGACUGAAUUUGUUUCAGACAGCAGCAUAGUUAACUUCAAAAUUCGAUAUCUCCCAAACUCCUCAACCAAAAAUUAUGAAAUUAUGCUGACAGUAAGAACUUUUUGUCCCUCUACAAAAGUAUCUAUAGUUGGAAGAGCCAAUUCGGCCAUUUACUAGAUGAAACCUACCAGUUAACAGACCCGCUCAUUUUUGUCAGGCAAACAAGAACCCUUAUAUAUCAAAGAGUAGUGGAUUUGAAUUUGUCUAAUAUGAAGUUUAUGGGCUUGGAUCAUUUAAAGUAUUUUAUAAUUCUGAAAGACAAGAUUAAACUAACUAUGUAUGAUCCUUUAGCACCGUACAGAUGGUCGAUGGGACAGUUACAUGGUUUAUAUAGAUGGACCUAUCUAUAUUCCUUCAGUGGUUGAGAAAAAGGUAAAGGUGUGUCACACUCACGUGUGCGCCGCCUCUGCCGAGAUGAGGCAUGGCGUUGCAAGGUGAGGCAUGGCAUGGUGCAGCACGAUCGCAGUCAUGGUCGUGGCACAGUGUAGCACUGUUGUGGAUAGAUAGAUAAACUAUUGUUGUAGUUAGAGUGCAUGAGUUUUUGAAUGCAACACUAGGAUUUUCACAAUUUAACUUAAUUAAGAAGUUAUAUCUUGAUGACACAGAGUUACCUGACCAUUGAUCUCACAUGCCCUUUUAGCUCUCUUGUUCUCUAGACUCACCCUGACUAUUGAGGUCUCUUGACUCGCCAAUAUAAACACCAUCCUAUCAUUUGCUCUCGAAUACUUUUGUGUCACAACUCAACUGUCAGAUGAGUACUCCAUUACAGCACUGAGCAGGCCUCCGAAAUGAAUAUCUACUCAGAUGAAGGACGACAAUCGUGUUCUAGGGAAAUAUCAGUGACACAACUCCUUACUUCCUCUGCUUCUUCCUAGUGUUUUUUGUUGUGAUUGAGUCGACACAGCAACAACACUGCACUAUUACAACCAGUACGACUAUAUUAACUAGCAAUGUCUUCCUUAUAUGUUACUAUUUAUUUUGCUCAUAUUCAUUAUGUUUAAAUCACAUAGGCACCUUUUUGUUGGCAUCAAAAAAUUAGUAUCAACUUUCUAGAUUAAAGUGAAACUAAAAGUACCUAAAUUUCUAUCGGUGGGGAUCGAGUGAUUCUUUAAACCGAUUAUUACACAAGUGAACCACACUAAAAUUAACAUUGGUGAAUCGUGCCAUGAUUUUUUCUAGUGGAAAAUAGCCAAACCAAGCAACACAUAUGUGGCUAUCGUUACACAUGUGUAAAGGUAUUGCAUCACACCAUUGUCACCCAUGUAUUUGGACAAUACCGAGAGGAAAAACCACUUAUUUAUUGUAUUUUAUCAAGUUUGUCUUGCUUACGUAUAAAUUAUAACCCAACAAAGUAAUCACUAAAUGUCAAAACCAACUAGAUACCAUGUCAUCUCUACCUUAUCUUACUAAUAUUCUUUUUGCAAAAUCCAAAAUUAAUCUUGCACAAGCACAAGGACUGAGAUGUGUAUAAAUAUCUCUUAAAUUAGUAGCUAAUAUAUCACACAUAUUAUUGAGACCAACUAGCAACAUAGAAAGCACAAUAGUGUACCAACAAUGGCAGCCAAAAUAUUUUGCCUCCUUAUGCUCCUUGGUCUUUCUGCAAGUGCUGCUACGGCGACCAUUUUCCCACAAUGCUCACAAGCUCCUAUAGCUUCCCUUCUUCCCCCGUACCUCUCACCAGCGGUGUCUUCGGUAUGUGAAAACCCAAUUCUUCAACCCUAUAGGAUCCAACAGGCAAUCGCAGCUGGCAUCUUACCUUUAUCACCCUUGUUCCUCCAACAAUCAUCAGCCCUAUUACAGCAGUUACCUUUGGUGCAUUUAUUGGCACAAAACAUCAGGGCACAACAACUACAACAACUUGUGCUAGCAAACCUUGCUGCCUACUCUCAGCAACAACAGUUUCUUCCAUUCAACCAACUAGCUGCAUUGAACUCUGCUUCUUAUUUGCAACAACAACAACUACCAUUCAGCCAGCUAUCUGCUGCCUACCCCCAGCAAUUUCUUCCAUUCAACCAACUGACAGCUUUGAACUCUCCUGCUUAUUUACAGCAGCAACAACUACUACCAUUCAGCCAGCUAGCUGGUGUGAGCCCUGCUACCUUCUUGACACAACCACAAUUGUUGCCGUUCUACCAGCACGCUGCGCCUAACGCUGGCACCCUCUUACAACUGCAACAAUUGCUGCCAUUCAACCAACUUGCUUUGACAAACCCAACAGCAUUCUACCAACAACCCAUCAUUGGUGGUGCCCUCUUUUAGAUUUCUUAUGAGUUAUAGUUCAAUAAUAAAGUUUUUUGUCUGAUGUUUGUGGCUUCCCAGAAAUAAGAAAGUACAUUUCUAGAUUCUUAUGUGCUUCUAGUCUCCAAAUGUGGUUGAUAGUUAUUUUGCUCUAAGAUUAGCAGUAAUGAAGUAUAAAUCAUCGUUGUGGUGUGCUACUCGGUUAAUUGAGCAUUAACACACACAAACAUGACGAGGAUGGUAUAAUCUCCAAAAAUGUGUACUUUGUUAGGUGGGACCCUAUAGCCUUGCAGAAUGUGCUACGUUAGGCAUGCCAAUGGAAACGUGUGACACAUACGUUUUGUGAAUCUGUUGAUAUUAUAUGUGCUUUUAUAUUACCAUAUUUUAUUAAAAUACUAAUAUUUAUUACUAGUAAGAUAUAACAUUCUAUCUAGCUUAAAAACUAACCAUAAAUAUUCCAUAAUAACUAGAUUUACCAAACUAAUAUACUAAAUAUACAUAAUAAAUAUAAAAUUAACAAGACAAUAAUUAAUAUUUAUGAGCUUAAUUUAUUUAGACAUUAUGGUUGGUCGACGAUAAUCAUGCUAACUUUCCGUAAUUGCUUGAUUGUAAAUAUGCUUAGAAUAAUGCCUCUUUGUUCUACAUGGCAAAUAGGGACCAUUAUGGUGUAACACCCCGGGAUCCACAAACACCCCGAAAUGCUACUAAACUACACAACUAACCUUCAUAUAUAAAAUUUCGACAGCAUCUCCUUUGAAAAUUUGCAUAAACGUGGAAGCAACAGAGUAUAAACAGAUAUCAUGAUAAGGAAACAUACUAGACAUUAAUAAUCUGCUAGAAAUGGGAAGAUAACCAUAACGACAUAAACUGAAUUAACUAGUGUGCACAACUUGUUAAAAACAAACAUCGUUGACAAGAAGUUUCUAAUUAAAUCAUGGUUGUGCCUGGGCAGCGUUAUUAUGAGAGUGAAGGUGGACGUGAUGCUACUUCCCUCAUUCCCAACAUGAAUCAAGUACCUGCAUUGAGUAAUGCAAGAGUGAGAUGAAAACAUCUCAGCAAGUAAAUUGUUUUGACGAGAUAUUUAAACCAAAAAAAUUGAUUUAAUCAACAUUUUAAAGGGAUCACAAUUGAGAUCAGAAAUACUUGUAGAUAUAGAACUCAAUAGUCCCAAAAUAACCAAUGCCAUCUCAUUUCCUCAAACAACCACAAUAGGUUGUAUAACACUUCCCUGCGUCAUCAAUACCUGCAAAUAUCACUUCAAUGUAUGCAUAGGAAUGCAAUGUUUAAGUCCUCUGCAUUCAUACUUCUUAGAGUAUAAAACCACACCAUCUGCAAAUAUCACUUCAAUGAAUGCAUAUGAAUGCAAUGCAUAUGUCCUCUGCCUUCAUACCUCUAAGGGUAUGAAGCCGCAUCGUACCCCUCCUCGGGCAACGUACGAUGCUAAGUUGUACCGGUACGGUCGGACCAUAGGUCACGACAAAACUUCAGAUGCAAGUGAAUCAUGACAUGUAUAUGGCAUGCUGCAUUUAUCAAUAUACUUCACUUCCUUCAUAUACAAUACAAACCUAAAAUAAUACUUCGUUUACCUUCAGAUACAAUACAAACCUCAAAUAAUACUUCAUUCACCUUCAGGGGUGUUUAUUAAUCUCGUGGGUCAUACUCAAAUCAUCAUCAUCAUCAAUGAUGUUUAAGCAUCAGUAUAAUACAAUCAAGUAAAGCAUCACCAUAGAGUUCAAUUAUGAAAGAAUUCGAUGAUUCUGAAUAUUAGAGUGUAUGCGAUGAAACAACAAAGUCAAAACGGUAGCAACCACCUCUACAUUCACUUGCCUUCAUCGAAGAAGAAAAAGGUACUAGGCAUGAUUCGGAGUGUAGACACCUGCUGUGGGGCUUAAAACUUAGUACAAAUAUUCCAUAAACAUUUGCCAACAAUUAACAAAUCGCUCCUACACUUGAAACCAAGACCCGGUGGAAUGACUCCCACCCUGAACCACAUGCCAAACAACAAUAGUGUUGUUUGUUAAUUUCUAUCUUUAAAAUUAUAACAGUGGUGAUAUCAAACAAAUACUCUAUACGUUUCUACACAAAAUACUCUACAACUUCGGUAUUCAAUGGAUAAUUAAAUUUUGCCAUCUAUAAGUUCUAAAACAUCUGACAAGAUAACUGACUGAAUCUGUUUCAGACAACAGCAUAGUUAACUUCAAAAUUCGAUAUCUCCCUAACUCCUCAACAAAAAAUUAUGAAAUUAUGCUGACAGUAAGAACUUUUAUCCCUCUACAAAAGUCUCCAUAGUUGAAAGAGCCAAUUCGGCCAUUUACUAGAUGAAACCUACCAGUUAACGGACCCGCUCAUUUUUGUCAAGCAAACAAGAACCCUUAUAUAUCAAAGAGUAGUGGAUUUGAAUUUGUCUAAUAUGAAGUUUACGGGCUUGGCUCAUUUAAAGUAUUUAAUAAUUCUGAAAGACAAGAUUAAACUAACUAUGUAUGAUCCUUUAGCACCGUACAGAUGGUCGAUGGGACAGUUACAUGGUUUAUAUAGAUGGACCUAUCUAUAUUCCUUCAGUGGUUGAGAAAAAAGUAAAGGUGUGUCACACUCACGUGUGCGCCGCCUCCGCCGAGACGAGGCAUGGCGUUGCAAGGUGAGGCAUGGCAUGGUGUAGCACGAUAGCAGUCAUGGUCGUGGCACAGUGUAGCACUGUUGUGGAUAGAUAGGUAAACUAUUGUUGUAGUUAGAGUGCAUGAGUUUUUGAAUGCAACACUAGAAUUUUCACAAUUUAACUUAAUUAAGAAGUUAUAUCUUGAUGACACAGAGUUACCUGACCAUUGAUCUCACAUGCCCUUUUAGCUCUCUCGUUCUCUAGACUCACCCUGACUAUUUAAGUCUCUUGACUCGCCAAUAUAAACACCAUCCUAUCAUUUGCUCUAGAAUACUUCUGUGUCACAACUCAACUGUCAGAUGAGUACUCCAUUACAGCACUUACGUACACGAGUUCUAUGAGAGCAGGCCUCCAAAAUGAAUAUCUACUUAGAUGAAGGACGACAAUCGUGUUCUAGGGAAAUAUCAGCGACACAACUCCUUACUUCCUUCGCUUCUUCCUAGUGUUUUUUGUUGUGAUUGAGUCGACACAGCAACAACACUGCACUAUUACAACCAGUACGACUAUAUCAACUAGCAAUGUCUUCCUUAUAUGUUACUAUUUAUUUUGCACAUAUUCAUUAUGUUUAAAUCACAUAGGCACCUUUCUAUUGGCAUCAAAAAAUUAGUAUCAACUUUCUAGAUUAAAAUGAAACUAAAAGUACAUAAAUUUCUAUCGGUGGGGAUCGAGUGAUUCUUUAAACCGAUUAUUACACAAGUUAACCACACUAAAAUUAACAUUGGUGAAUCGUGCCAUGAUUUUUUUUCUAGUGGAAAAUAGCCAAACCAAGCAACACAUAUGUGGCUAUCGUUACACAUGUGUAAAGGUAUUGCAUCACACUAUUGUCACCCAUGUAUUUGGACAAUACCGAGAGGAAAAACCACUUAUUUAUUGUAUUUUAUCAAGUUUGUCUUGCUUACGUAUAAAAUUAUAACCCAACAAAGUAAUCACUAAACGUCAAAACCAACUAGAUAUCAUGUCAUCUCUACCUUAUCUUACUAAUAUUCUUUUUGCAAAAUCCAAAAUUAAUCUUGCACAAGCACAAGGACUGAGAUGUGUAUAAAUAUCUCUUAAAUUAGUAGCUAAUAUAUCGCACAUAUUAUUUAGACCAACUAGCAACAUAGAAAGCACAAUAGUGUACCAACAAUGGCAGCCAAAAUAUUUUGCCUCCUUAUGCUCCUUGGUAUUUCUGCAAGUGCUGCUACGGCGACCAUUUUCCCGCAAUGCUCACAAGCUCCUAUAGCUUCCCUUCUUCCCCCGUACCUCUCACCAGCGGUGUCUUCGGUAUGUGAAAACCCAAUUCUUCAACCCUACAGGAUCCAACAGGCAAUCGCAGCUGGCAUCUUACCUUUAUCACCCUUGUUCCUCCAACAAUCAUCAGCCCUAUUACAGCAGUUACCUUUGGUGCAUUUAUUGGCACAAAACAUCAGGGCACAACAACUACAACAACUUGUGCUAGCAAACCUUGCUGCCUACUCUCAGCAACAGCAGUUUCUUCCAUUCAACCAACUAGCUGCAUUGAACUCUGCUUCUUAUUUGCAACAACAACAACUACCAUUCAGCCAGCUACCUGUUGCCUACCCCCAGCAAUUUCUUCCAUUCAACCAACUGGCAGCAUUGAACUCUCCUGCUUAUUUACAGCAGCAACAACUACUACCAUUCAGCCAGCUAGCUGGUGUGAGCCCUGCUACCUUCUUGACACAACCACAGUUGUUGCCGUUCUACCAGCACGCUGCGCCUAACGCUGGCACCCUCUUACAACUGCAACAAUUGCUGCCAUUCAACCAACUUGCUUUGACAAACCUAGCAGUGUUCUACCAACAACCCAUCAUUGGUGGUGCCCUCUUUUAGAUUUCUUAUGAGUUAUAGUUCAAUAAUAAAGUUUUUUGUCUGAUGUUUGUGGCUUCCCAGAAAUAAGAAAGUACAUUUCUAGAUUCUUAUGUGCUUCUAGUCUCCAAAUGUGGUUGAUAGUUAUUUUGCUCUAAGAUCAGCAGUACAACAACAACAACAACAACAACAACAACAACAACAAAGCCUUUUUGUCCCAAGCACGUUGGGGUAGGCUAGAGAUGAAACCCCGUAUGAAAACCUCAGAGCUCAACCCCCAAAGAACAGAAAAGGGAAACAAAGGCAAAGGAGAACCGAAAACAACGAAACGGGGAAACACAUAAAAGAGAUAAAACCCACAAGGACCAGCAAGAUCUAAAAUGGACACAAGAAAAGGUCAAACGAUUAAGGAGGAAAAGCGAAACUAUCAAUCAGGGUUCUGGCACGUGAAUUGCACACUUCCACCCCUUCCUAUCUGCGGCGAGCUCUUUGUCAAUAUUCCACUCCUUCAGGUCUCUCUUCACAGCCUCUGUCCACGUCAAAGUUGGUCGACCUCUACCUCUCUUCACAUUUUCGGGACGCCUAAUUAUUCCGAUAUGCACUGGUGCCUCUUCAGGUCUUCGUUGGAUAUGUCCAAACCAUCUCAAGCGAUGUUGCAUAAGCUUCUCCUCAAUUGGCGCCACUCCUACUCUCUCUCGUAUAUCAUCAUUCCGGACUCGAUCUCUCCUUGUGUGGCCACAUAUCCAGCGCAACAUACGCAUCUCUGCCACACUUAGUUGUUGGACAUGUCGUCUUUUAGUGGGCCAACAUUCUGCUCCAUACAACAUAGCCGGCCGGAUUGCUGUCCUGUAGAAUUUGCCUUUUAGUUUGCGUGGCACCCGGUGGUCGCAUAAGACACCCGCAGCUUGUCGCCACUUCAACCAUCCGGCUUUAAUUCUAUGACUGACAUCCUCAUCGAUGUCUCCCUCCUUUUGAAGCAUUGAUCCUAAGUAACGAAAAGUGUCUUUCUUGGGUACCACUUGCCCAUCAAGACUAACAUCGCCAUCCUCAUACCCCAUGGCACUGAAAUCACACUUCAUAUACUCUGUUUUAGACCUACUAAGCCUAAAACCUUUUGCUUCCAGCGUCUGCCUCCACAAUUCCAACUUUUGAGAAACACCACUCCUACUCUCCUCAAUAAGUACCACAUCAUCGGCAAAAAGCAUACACCACGGUAAAACUCCUUGUAUGUCCCUUGUGACCUCAUCUAUCACCAAAGCGAAAAGAUAAGGGCUCAAAGCCGACCCUUGAUGUAGUCCUAUGUUAAUUGGAAAGUCAUCGGUGUCUCCAUCACUUGUUCGGACACUUGUCACAACAUUAGUGUACAUAUCUUUAAUAAGAUUAAUGUACUUUGUUGCUACUUUGUGUUUUUCCAAGGCCCACCACAUUACACUCCUAGGUACUUUGUCAUAAGCCUUCUCCAAGUCUAUGAAGACCAUAUGCAGGUCUUUCUUUUGUUCUCUGAAUCUCUCCAUAAGUUGUCUUAGUAAGAAAAUGGCCUCCAUAGUUGAUCUCCCGGGCAUGAAACCAAACUGAUUUUGGGUCACGCUCGUCAUCUUUCGCAGGCGGUGUUCAAUGACUCUCUCCCAUAGCUUCAUUGUAUGGCUCAUGAGCUUAAUUCCACGGUAAUUAGUACAACUUUGAACAUCUCCUUUGUUCUUGAAGAUUGGUACUAAUGUACUCCGCCGCCACUCGUCGGGCAUUCUGUUUGCCCGAAAGAUGGUGUUGAAAAGCUUAGUCAGCCAUACUAUCGCUAUGUCUCCAAGACAUCUCCAUACCUCGAUAGGGAUACCAUCAGGGCCCAUCGCCUUUCCUACCUUCAUCCUUUUUAGCGCCUCCUUAACUUCAUAUUCUUGUAUCCUUCGUACAAAACCCCUGUUGUUGUCAUCGAAUGGUUCGUCCAAUUCUAUUGUAGCACUCUCAUUCCCUCCAUUGAACAAUUUGUUGAAGUACUCCUUCCAUCUGUUCUUGAUCUCUUCACUCUUCACUAAUAGUUGGUUUGCUUCGUCCUUGAUGCAUUUGACUUGGUUGACAUCCCUUGUCUUCCUUUCACGAAUCUUGGCCAUCCUAUAGAUAUCCUUUUCUCCCUGCUUUGUGUCCAGCCGUUGAUAAAGGUCGUCAUAGGCUUGACCCCGGGCUCUACUAACCGCUCGCUUUGCAGACUUCUUCGCUAUCCUGUACUUCUCUAUGUUUUCUGCACACUUGUCAUGAUGUAAGCGUUUGUAGCAAUCUUUCUUCUCCUUGAUAGCCUUUUGGACAUCUUCGUUCCACCACCAAGUGUCUUUAACUUCCCUUCUGUUCCCUUGACUCAACCCAAACUCUUCUGAAGCUAUCUUUCGGAUGCAUGUCGCCAUCUUCCUCCACAUGAUAUUUGCGUCUUCCUCUCCUGCCCAAGGGCCCUCCUCGAUAACUCUCUUCUUGAAAGUUUGGGCCACAUCCCCUUUAAGCUUCCACCACUUUGUUCUAGUGACCUUGUUAUGCUUAUUUCGUUGUAAACGAAUCUUAAAACGGAAGUCAGCAACGACAAGCUUAUGUUGGGUUACCACACACUCUCCAGGUAUAACCUUGCAAUCUAAGCAGGCAUGCCUGUCCUCUUUUCUCAAGAGGACGAAAUCAAUCUGGCUAGUGUGUUGGCCACUACUGAAGGUCACCAGGUGGGAUUGCCUCUUCUUAAAGAAAGUGUUUGCUAUAAACAUGUCAUAGGCUAGGGCAAAGUUCAGGAUUUCCUCUCCUUCUUGAUUCCUAGUCCCAAAGCCGAAGCCUCCAUGUACACCCUCGAAACUGGUGCUAGAUGUACCCACAUGGCCAUUGAGAUCUCCUCCUAUGAAGAGCUUCUCGCCAACUGGCACACUACUAACCAUGUCCUCUAGGCCUUCCCAGAACUCUCUCUUUGAGUUCUCAUUAAGGCCUACUUGAGGAGCAUACGCGCUGAUAACAUUGAGAACCAAGUCUCCAAUGACCAGCUUGACUAGGAUGAUUCUAUCUCCUACCCUCUUAACAUCUACUACCCCAUCUUUGAGGCUCUUGUCGAUCAAGACGCCUACUCCAUUCUUGUUUGUUGCAGUCCCCGUGUACCACAACUUGAAACCUGUACCUUUCACUUCCUUCGCCUUCUGUCCCUUCCACUUGGUCUCUUGAACGCAUAAAAUAUUUACCCGUCUCCUCACCGCAACGUCAACUAUUUCUCGUAACUUACCUGUUAAGGAACCUACGUUCCAACUGCCUACACGGACCCUAGUUGGCUCGACUAGCUUCCUUACCCUUCGCACCCGCCGAGGAAGAUGCAAAGACCCUUGCUCAUUUUUCACUACACCCGGGCGCCGAUGUAGCGCGCCACUAAGGAUGCGACGACCCGAUCCUUGCUCACUUAUCACCGGCUCCAGAUCAAGAGACAGCGCGUCACUUGAGGGGUGACGACCCGGCCCUUGCUCAUUUAACACCAUACCCGGGUUCCGAUAUGGCGCGUCGCUAAGAGGGUUACGCCCCAACGGUUUUCUUUGUGGUUUCAUCUCCAUAAGAUUUGGCUGGUUUUUUACGUUGGUUUGCCGGACCUAACACAACCCUCCUCCUUUACCGGGCUUGGGACCGGCUAUGUUGAAACGACUCAAGGAAGUCUUCCAAUCAACAUAGGCGGAGUUUAAGAUCAGCAGUAAUGAAGUAUAAAUCAUCGUUGUGGUGUGCUACUCGGUUAAUUGAGCAUUAACACACACAAACAUGACGAGGAUGGUAUAAUCUCCCAAAAUGUGUACUUUGUUAGGUGGGACCCUAUAGCCUUGCAGAAUGUGCUACGUUAGGCAUGCCGAUGGAAACGUGUGACGCAUACGUUUUGUGAACCUGUUGAUAUUAUAUGUGCUUUUAUAUUACCAUAUUUUAUUAAAACACUAAUAUUUAUUACUAGUAAGAUAUAACAUUCUAUCUAGCUUAAAAACUAACCAUAAAUAUUCCAUAAUAACUAGAUUUACCAAACUAAUAUACUAAAUAUACAUAAUAAAUACAAAAUUAACAAGACAAUAAUCAAUAUUUAUGAGCUUAAUAUAUUUAGACAUUAUGGUUGGUCGACGAUAAUCAUGCUAACUUUCCGUAAUUGCUUGAUUGUAAAUAUGCUUAGACUAAUGCCUCUUUGUUCUACAUGGCAAAUAGGGACCACUCUAGGAGACUAGGAUGUUGCUUGAGAUGAAAAUGUCAGAAUUGGUGUAGACUAAUUUCUAUCGGCCGCUGACUUCACUAUUGUAACCAUUAUAUCUUGGGUAAAUUAUAUACGAUUAUCCAGCCAAAGGGCCCAGAUGAUAAAAAACAAUUUUUAAUUGCUAUUUUAGGACAAAUGAAUUAGCAUGGUUCGAAGGAUUACGACCUUCCCCCCAUGACCUUUGUCAUACUGCUUUAGUCUAAUCGACAAAACCAAGAUUAGUUAUCAUCGAAGAAGUUCAUAAGCGAAGUUGUGACGAUGAAAGGAACAUGGUGGUAAUUGGACGAACGACGACACCUUUGUCUAAGAAUGGCAUCUAGAAGAAAUCUCAGACAAAAUAAGACAUGAAUGGCUUGUCAGUACAGCGCAAAUACUGAAACAUGCGCCCUUGAAUAUGAAACAUUUAUAUGUAAGAGGAAGGGAUAAAAAAACUAAUUACUCGUGCCUAAUGAUUUUAUUGGGAAUUUUAAGGCGAGACUUAUGGCAAAGGGUUAUACCAAAAAUAGGGGAGAGAUUAUUUCGAUACUUAUUCACUUGUUUCCCUUCAAAUGGCCAUACAUGUGUUACUUUUUUUGGCUGCCUCGCAUGGUCUUAUCGUUCAUCAGAUGAAUGUUAAGACUGCUUUCCCAAAUGGAGAGCUUAAGGAACAGAUCUACAUUGACUAGCCUAGUGGUUUUAUAUCAAAUGGUAAAGAGGAAAAGGUGUUUAAAAUAAUUGUUUGGUUUAAAACAAGCACCAAAGCACAUGAGAAAAUCGAUAAAGUUCUGACUUUGGCUAAAUUUGUUGUAAAUGAAGUUGAUAAAUGUGUCCAUUACCAGUUUGACAGGGGCGAAGGUAUGACCUUUUUAUAUGUGGACAAAAUAUUAACCUUUUGUAACGAUGUUAAUAUGAUAGAAGAAGUAAAGUAAUUUUUGUCUAGUAACUUAGAAAUAAACAAUCUGGGAGAGGCUAAUGUUGUUCUUAACAAAGAGAUGUUGAGAGAAGGAGGAAAUAGAGGGUUACUCUUGUGCAAUCCUAUUAGGUUGAAAAGUCGCUGAGUCGCUUUGGAUAUAGUGAUUACACGUCUGGUCCAACAACUUAUGACCCAAGUGUGUUAUUAAGGAAAAAUCAUAUAAUUGCAUAUGAUCAAUUGAGAUAUUGUCAAAUCAUGGUCUUCUCAUAUAUUUGGCAAGCCCAACGAUGUCUCAUAUCUGAUUUGUUAUGAGCAAACUCAGUUGCCUUGUCUCCAAUCUAGGGGAGGAUCAUGACAUGCCCUAGAGAGGGUAUUGCGCUUUCUCAAAGGGAUAUGAGUAAUGUCAUUUACUAUACUAGGCACCUAAGAGUACCAGAGUGUUAUAGUCAUGCAAAUAGGAUAUCUGAUGUUGAUUAGAUUUAUGCCACAAGUAGACUUGUGUGCUUCCUUGGAGGUGUGAUUGUUUCAUGGAAGUCUUGUAAGUAGACCAUCUUAACAAGGUCAACAAUAGAAGUAGAACUCACAACAUUAUAUACUACCAAAGUUGAAGUUGAUUGGCUCCGUGAACUCCUUACGGAUUUACCAGUAGUUGAAAAACCAAUACUGGUUAUCUCUAUGAGCUACAAUAAUCAAACAUUUGUAAUCGAAGUAAACAGUUCUAAAGUUAACAUGAUGUCUACAAAGCAUGUAAAAAUGGUUGAAACUGUUAAAACACUAAGAAACUCUAGAUUAAUUAUGUUGGACUAUAUCCAUACAUCGAAUUUGGUAUGCCAGUUUACAGAAGAUUUGUCACAUAAUAUGAUUCAAGGUGCAUCGAGGAAUAUGGGCUUGAGACCCACUUAAUGUCAAUCCAUAGUGGUAGCAGUUUCUAUGUGAUUGGAGAUCCCAUAAAGUAGAAUGGUGAAACAAGCUAGAGAAUGACUGAUGGAGAGACUCCUUAAAUAAAAUCUUGAUAAUUUGAGAUGCACAUUUCUCAUUUGAUGUAUUGUAGGCGAACUAAAAUCUUAAUAUGAUUUGAGUGACUUAUCUAAGCAGGGAUGUUAUCUUACAGAACAUCCUAGAAAGAACACACCUAUAUGAGUUUGCAUGUUAGUCAUAGUCUAUCAUGUGUGGUAAUCUUUAUAUACUCAUGAAAGGCUUGAAGUUUGACUUAUAUGCUUCAAACCAAGGGGGUGCUUGUAACAGUCUAGUACAAGAUAAGAACAUUGGUAAAACUCACUUAACGCAAAAUUGUCAAUUUAAGGCAUAGUUCAUUGUUUAGAUGUGAAUGUGUAAUCCCUGUUCUAGAUGGAUGGUCAACUUAACAGCCUCCACCAAAACCCUGAUAUCUCAAAGAGUAGUGGAUUUGAGUUUGUCUAAUAUGUGGUUUAGAUUUUGGUGGGGAAUUUUAAUAUUUUAUGGGCUUGGCCCAUUUAAGGUAUUUAAUACUUUCAAAAGACAAGAUUAAACAUGUGUGAAUAGUGUCAUGAUUUUUUUCUAGUGCAAAAUAGCCCAACAAAUCAACACAUAUGUGGCUAUCAUUACACAUGUGUAAAGGUAAUGCAUCACACCAUUGUCACCCAUGUAUUUAGAAAAUACCAAGAAGAAAAACAACUUGUUUAUUGUAUUUUAUGGAGAUUAUCUUGCUUACAUAUAAUUAUAACCCAACAAAGUGGUCACUAAAUGUCAAAACCAACUAGGUACCAGGUCAUCUCUAGCUUAUCUUGCUAAUGAUAUUUUUGCAAAAUCCAAAAUUAAUCUUGCACAAGCACAAGGACUGAGAUGUGUAUAAAAAUCUCUUAGAUUAGUAGGUAAUCCAUCACACAAAGCGCAAUAGUGUAGCAAAACUGGCAGUCAAAAUAUUUUGCCUCCUUAUGCUCCUUGCUCUUUCUGCAAGUGCUGCUAACGCGACCAAUUUUCUGCAAUGCUCACAAGAUCCAAUUGCUUCCCUUCUUCCCUCAUACCUCUCACCAGCGACAUCUUCAGUAUGUGAAAACCCAAUUCUUCAACCCUAUAGGAUCCAACAGGCAAUCACAGCAAGCAUCUUACCUUUAUCACCCUUGUUCCUCCAACAACCGCCAGCCCUGUUACAACAAUUACCUUUGGUGCAUUUGUUGGAACAAAGCAUCAAGGCACAACAACUACAACAACCUGUGCUGACAAACCUUGUUGCCUACUCUCAGCAACAAUAGUUUCUUCCAUUCAACCAACUGGCUGCACUGAACUCUGCUGCUUAUUUGCAACAACAACAACAACUUCCAUUCACCCAGCUAGCUGCUGCCUACCCCCAACAAUUUCUUCCAUUCGACUAACUGGCUGCAUUGAACUCUGUUGCUUAUUUACAACAGCAACAACUAAUACCAUGAAACCAGCUAGCUGUUGCGAGCCCUGCUACCUUCUUGACACAACCACAGUUGAUGUCGUUCUACCUGCAAGCUGUGGCUAACGUCGGCACCCUCUUACAACUACAACAAUUGUUGCCAUUCAUCCAACUUGCUUUGACAAACCCAAUAGUGUUCUACCAACAACCCAUCAUUGGUGGCGCCCUCUUUUAUAUUUCUUAUGGGUUAUAGUUCAAUAAUGAAGUUUUUGGCUGAUGUUUGUGGCUUCCCAGAAAUAAGAAAGUAUAUUUCUAGAUUCUUAUGUGCUACUAGUCUCCAAAUGUGGUUGAUAAUUAUGUUGCUCUAAGAACGGGAGUAAUGAGGUAUAAAUCAUUGUUGAGGUGUGAUACUCGGGUAGUUGAGCAUUAGCACGCACAAAUAUGAUGAGGACGGUAUAAUCUCCAAAAAUAUGUACUUUGUUAGGUGGGACCCUAUAGCCAUGCAGAAUGUGCUCUGUUAGACACGUCGAUGGAAACGUGUCACACAUACGUUUUGUGAACCUAUUGAUAUUGUAUGUGCUUUUAGUUGUGUGGUGCUAUAGAUAUGAGGGCUUGUUUCACGUAAUGAGCUAGGGUAGAAAAAUAAUUAUUUGCCUUGGAUUGUUAUGGAAGAACAUACCAAUUGUGACUGCCAUCUCAAUCUAGCUAACAUCUAAGUGACCUAAAAGGAGAGCAUAAGGAACUGAUCUACAAUGACUAGCCUAGUGGUUUUAUAGGAAAUGGCAAAGAGGAAAAUGUGUUUAAGUUAUUACAAUUGUAUGGUUUAAAACAAGCACCUAAGCACAUGAGAAAUUUUAUGAAGUUCUGACUUUGGCUAAAUUUGUUGUAAAUGAAGCUGAUAAAUGUGUCUAUUGCUAGUUUGAGAGGAGGGAUGGCAUGACCUGUUUUUUAUAUUUGGAUGAUAUAUUAAUCUUUUGUAAUGAUGUUAAUAUUAUCGAGGAAGUAAAAUACUCUUUGUGUGGUAACUUUGAAAUAAAUGAUUUUGGAGAGGCUAAUGUUGUUCUUAACAUAAAGAUGUUGGGAGAAGGAGGAAAUAGGGGGUAACUCUUGUGAAUCCUAUUAGGUUGAAAAGACAUUUAGUUGUUUUGGAUAUAGUAACUACACAUCUGGUCAAAUUACUUAUGACACAAGCGUGUUGUUAAGGAAAAUGAUAUAAUCGCAUAGAAUCAAAUGAGAUACUAUCAAAUCAUGGUCUUCUCGUGUAUUUGGCUAAUCCAACGAGGCCUAAUAUCUCAUUGCUAUGAUUAAACUUAGUCGAUUUGUAUACAAUGUAGGGGAUGAUCAUGGCAAGCCCUAGAGAGGGUAUUGCGCUACCUAAAAGGGACUAUGAGUAAUGUAAUUUACUAUACCAGGCACCUAAGGGUACCAGAGUGUUACAAUGAUGCAAACAAGAUAUCUGAUGGUGACGAGAUUUAUGCCACAAGUGGAUAUGUGUGCUUGCUUGGAGGUGUGAUAGUUUCAUGGAAGUCUUGUAAGUAUACCAUCUUAACAAGAUCAACAAAACAAGUAGAACUGGCAACAUAAGAUACUACCAUAGUUGAAGCUAAGUGGCUUCUUGAACUCCUUAUGGAUUUACCAGUAGUUGAAAACUAAUAGUGGUUAUCUCUAUGAUCUAUGAUAAUCAAAUAGUCGUAAUCAAAGUGAACAGUUCUAAGGAUAACAUGAAUUCUACAAAGCAUGUCAAAAAGCGAUUGAAACUAUUAGAACACUAAGAAUCUCUAGAGUAAUUGUGUUGGACUAUGUCCAUACAUCUAAGAAUUUGGUAGGUCGAUUUAGAGAAGGUUUGUCCAUAAUGUGAUAGAUGGUGCAUCGUGUAAGAUGGGCUUGAGACCCUCUUAAUGCCAUUCCUUAGUGGUAGCAUGUUCUAUGUGAUUGGAGAUCUCGUGAAGUAGAAUGGUGAAACAAGAUAGAGAAUGACUGAUGGAGAGACUCCUUAAAUAAAAUCUAGGUAAUUUGAUAUGCAUAUUUCUCCUUUGAUGUAUCGUAGGCUAACUAAAAUCUUAAUAUGAUCGGAGUGAUUUAUCUAAGCAGGGAUGUUAUCUUAUAGAACAUCCUAGAAGGAACACACCUAUAUGAGUUUGACUGCUAUUCAUAGUCUAUGAUAUUUGGGAAAUCUUUAUAUACACCUGAAAGGCCUAGAAAUGUGACUUCUAUGCUUCAAACCAAGGGGAUGCUUGUAACAAUCUAGUAUCAGAUAAGAACUUUGGUGAAACUCACUUCAUGCAAAACCGUUAAUUCAAAGCAUAGUCCAUUGUUCAGAUGUGAAUGUAUAACCCAUGUUCUAGAUGGAUGGUCAACUUAAUAGCCUCCACCAAGACCAUGAUAUAUCAAAGAGUAGUGGAUUUGAGUUUGUCCAAUAUGUGGUUUAGAUUUUGGUGGGGAAUGUUAAUAUUUUAUUGGCUUGACCCAUUUAAAGUGUUUAAUAAUUUUGAAAGACAAGAUUAAACAAAC
rnacentral:lncRNA from 1 species